GUUGGAAACGACUGCUAAUACCGCAUAAGCGCACGGUAUCGCAUGAUACAGUGUGAAAAACUCCGGUGGUAUAAGAUGGACCCGCGUCUGAUUAGCUAGUUGGUGAGGUAAGGCCCACCAAGGCGACGAUCAGUAGCCGGCCUGAGAGGGUGAACGGCCACAUUGGGACUGAGACACGGCCCAAACUCCUACGGGAGGCAGCAGUGGGGAAUAUUGCACAAUGGGGGAAACCCUGAUGCAGCGACGCCGCGUGAGUGAUGAAGUAUUCGGUAUGUAAAACUCUAUCAGCAGGGAAGAUAAUGACGGUACCUGACUAAGAAGCACCGGCUAAAUACGUG
rnacentral:rRNA from 1 species